AUUUAAUUUGGAUUUUAAUUGUUUUUGGGGUUUUAGAAAGAUGAGAAUUUUUUUGGGAAAUUUGAUUAGAGUGAAAUAGGUUUUCUUUUUCUUUUGUUUGAUCCUUAGAAACAAAGACUGAACAAGUUGUUACUCUUUGUUAGAAGCCAAGUGAUCAAAUCUGAUUAAGCAAAUUGGAAUUGUUAUCAUGAGAUAAUCAGAGUCGUUUGUUGAUUGUUAAAAGAAAAAGUUAAUCUUUACUGAUAAAAAGUAUAACCUGAGUGCUGAAUUAUAUUCUGGUUUAAGUUCAAAAUCUUUACUUGUUGCUAACUAAAGUAUUUGUUUGUUUCCAUUGUUGAUUUGAUCAAUUUUUGUACCACAAUAAUGGCUAUUCUUCAAUUAGUAAAAUCUUCUGCUGUAAGAUCAAUUAGACAAUUAAGUAAUGUUUCUGGUUCCGAUGUUGUUGUUGUUUCUGCCCUUCGGACACCAAUUGGUUCAUUUAGAGGAUCAUUGUCACAAUUAAGUGCUGCUCAAAUGGCCACUCAGGUGUUUAAAGCUUUAAUCAGUCAAUCAGGCCUUAAACCUGAGCAAAUUGAUGAAGUGAUACACAAAUUGGAUAAUAAAUUUGUUUUAAAAGAAAAA